UGGUUCUCAAGGAAAGAGAGCACACCAGAGAGAGAAAAAAAAAGAAAAGGUAAAAAAGACCAUGGUAAGUCAAAGUGACCUUGGGACAAAGAUUCAUGCAGCAGCAAGUAACAACAUGAUGAUGAUGGUAUGUAGCUAACAUGUGCAAAGUUUUCCCUCCCUUGUUUCAAGGGAUCAUGUCCUUGUGGUGAUAUGGCUCUGGUUUCAAGUUAGUACACUUGCUAACCUUUCUUGCCUCCUCGCAGAAGGCGAUGACAUUGACCAUCCCCUUGUCCUUGCUCUUGCCAUGCCAUGACCCAACUAUAUGCAGUGCAAUCUUCUCAAUGUCGCCAAGGUAGCUGGGCUUGAGCUUUGUGGAGGUGACCAGUGCUAGAGCAAGGUUCCUGAGCCUCUUGUGGUCCUCCCCUAGGACCACUAACAUGGAGGACUUGCCCAGAAUGCCAUGAAUUGGCCUGGGGUAGCUGCACUGAAACAGCCUCUCCUCAUUCUGAAGGAUGAAGUGGUUCAGCUCCUGGUCACAGGACACUAUGGUGGGGGUGCAGAACAGAUGGGACUUAAACACCCUCCCAUACCUGCAUCAUCAUCAUCACACCAUCAUCAGUGUUACUACCACCAUGCAUGCUAGCUAGUUAAGUGUUGUGCAACCUUUACAUUCCUUUUCUCUCGCUUGUUCAUCGGAAGAAAAGGUUUGCACAACUCUUUAACAAGAUGCUAAACACUGUCCAAUUCAUGUUACAGCACCCCCCUCAUCAGGGAGGAAAAAAAAGGGCGUGAUAAAGCUGCUGGGACAGGACAGCAGCAUUACCUUGUGCUGUCACAUGAAAUAAUGGUACAGUACUUAAUUGCAUGGUAAGAUGACACUUGUUGCUCCUGUGUGGUUGUGGUGGUGAUACUGAUAGAAAUGUUUACUGCAUAUGAUUUUAAUUUACCUGGAGCAGUGAUCCUCCAGGAAGCUGCCCAGGGUGUUGCUAGCAUGAGGACUGAGGAACCUCAGCGUCUCACCAAGGAGAGGCCACCCAAAGCUUCCCUUGGGAGCCUUGGGAUUCAGGAGCAAAGGCAGGAAGUGGCUCAGCACCAGGGUCAGCAGCAAAGCAAGCAGGAUCACCAGAGCAGCCAGCACAAGCUCUCCUCCCACCAUCUUACCUAUAGCCUCACACCAGGCACCACCACCCCCUGCUCAUCUUAUCUCAAUCUCAUCUCACAACAAGAAGCAUGGAUGGAGCCUUGCAGCAGCUAAGCCUUAGCUUGCUAAGCUCUCUCUCUCUCUCUGCCUAUCUGUCUAUUCUACCAAGUUUCUAUCUAACCCUUUCACUAGCUUGUGCUCAACACUCUGCUUCUCUCCCUCUCCCUCCCUCUAUUUUUCUCUGGAAUGGAAGGUGAGGGGGGAGGCUAUAUAGCAGUAGAAGCAAAGGCAGGAAGGAUCUUUGCAAAGGGAGGGAGUGAUGGAAAGGGGUGAUGAGCAGGGGGGGGAGGGAAAAAAAAUAGAGGCUGCCUUUUGUUUCCUUGCUUUGGCCUUGUUUUAAAGUAGAAGUAGGGGUAUUUCUUUCUUGCAUUGUUUGAUCUCUGUUUCUCUCUGUUUUCUUUUUUUUUUUACUGCAGUGAAGUGAAUUGGCUGCAUGCAUAUACUGUGCCAGUAGUAGCUUUUAUCAAGGAGGGCUAUGAGCCUACAGCCUAGGACUAGGAGGAUGGUCCAAUGCAGAGUAGCUAGCAUCUAGGCUGCUGCUGCUGCUCAAGGUGCAGUCAAACACGCAGGUAGAGAGAGAAAUGCAUUGGGGUAGUACAUGCACAGCCAGGUGCAGAUCGAUGCAUGGGACAUCGGUGAUAAUUAAGCUCUCUCUGAAUCUGAUGAAGCUUAUGCGCGCGCGCGCACACACCUUGCCUUUGCAAUCUGUUCUUGGGGAUCCCCUGCUUCGAUGACUCAUAUCUGUGUCAUUUCCUAAAGCCCUUCUUUUUCAUGACAAAAAUUACAGCAACAGGGGUCGAUUUGGCCUUGUUCACUUCAGUUUGUCUGUGUUUUUUAUGGUGACUUGUGUGUGCUUUGUCAUAAUUCUGAAGAUGUUGUAU
rnacentral:lncRNA from 1 species